rnacentral:rRNA from 1 species
GACGAACGCUGGCGGCGUGCUUAACACAUGCAAGUCGAACGGAAAGGCCCUGCUUUUGUGGGGUGCUCGAGUGGCGAACUGGUGAGUAACACGUGAGUAACCUGCCCUUGACUUUGGGAUAACUUCAGGAAACUGGGGCUAAUACCGGAUAGGAGCUCCUGCUGCAUGGUGGGGGUUGGAAAGUUUCGGCGGUUGGGGAUGGACUCGCGGCUUAUCAGCUUGUUGGUGGGGUAGUGGCUUACCAAGGCUUUGACGGGUAGCCGGCCUGAGAGGGUGACCGGCCACAUUGGGACUGAGAUACGGCCCAGACUACUACGGGAGGCAGCAGUGGGGAAUAUUGCACAAUGGGCGGAAGCCUGAUGCAGCAACGCCGCGUGCGGGAUGACGGCCAUCGGGUUGUAUACCGCUUUCGCCUGUGACGAAGCGUGAGUGACGGUAAUGGGUAAAGAAGCACCGGCUAACUACGUG